CUACGGGGUGCUGCAGUCGAGAAUAGUCUACAAUGGACGAAAGUCUGAUAGUGCGACGCCGCGUGGAUGAAGAAGCAUUUCGGUGUGUAAAGUCCUUUUCUGUGUGAGCAAUGUUUUCCAGGUUAAUAGCUUGGAGAAAGCGAUAUUAACACAGGAAUAAGCUCCGGCUAACUCCGUGCCAGCAGCCGCGGUAACACGGGGGGAGCAAGCGUUGUCCGGAAUUACUAGGCGUAAAGGGUAAGUAGGCGGAAUUGUAAGUCAGAUGUUAAAGGCACCGGCUCAACCGGUGUAUGGCAUUUGAUACUGUAAUUCUAGAGUAAGGUGGGGGAAGACGGAAUUCCUGGUGUAGCGGUGGAUUGCGCAGAUAUCAGGAGGAACACCAGAGGCGCAGGCGGUCUUCUAUACCAUUACUGACGCUCAAUUACGAAGGUGUGGGUAUCAAACAGGAUUAGAUACCCGCGUAGUC
rnacentral:rRNA from 1 species